rnacentral:rRNA from 1 species
UGACGGUACCCUAAGAAUAAGCACCGGCUAACUACGUGCCAGCAGCCGCGGUAAUACGUAGGGUGCAAGCGUUAAUCGGAAUUACUGGGCGUAAAGCGUGCGCAGGCGGUUUUUUAAGUCAGAUGUGAAAUCCCCGGGCUCAACCUGGGAACUGCAUUUGAAACUGUCAGGCUAGAGUUCGGUAGAGGGGGAUGGAAUUCCAGGUGUAGCGGUGAAAUGCGUAGAUAUCNGGAGGAACACCGAUGGCGAAGGCAGCCCCCUGGACCAGUACUGACGCUCAGGCACGAAAGC